rnacentral:rRNA from 1 species
GAUGAACGCUAGCUAUAGGCUUAACACAUGCAAGUCGAGGGGAAACGGCAAAGAGUGCUUGCACACUUUGGACGUCGACCGGCGCACGGGUGAGUAACGCGUAUCCAACCUGCCCUUUACUUGGGGAUAACCCGUUGAAAGACGGACUAAUACCCAAUGAUAUUCAUUGAUGACAUCUGAUUUGAAUUAAAGAUUUAUCGGUAUAGGAUGGGGAUGCGUCUGAUUAGCUUGUUGGUGAGGUAACGGCUCACCAAGGCAACGAUCAGUAGGGGUUCUGAGAGGAAGGUCCCCCACAUUGGAACUGAGACACGGUCCAAACUCCUACGGGAGGCAGCAGUGAGGAAUAUUGGUCAAUGGACGAGAGUCUGAACCAGCCAAGUAGCGUGCAGGAUGACGGCCCUAUGGGUUGUAAACUGCUUUUGUUUGGGAAUAAUCGACAUUACGUGUAAUGUUUUGCAUGUACCAUUCGAAUAAGGACCGGCUAAUUCCGUGCCAGCAGCCGCGGUAAUACGGAAGGUCCAGGCGUUAUCCGGAUUUAUUGGGUUUAAAGGGAGUGUAGGCGGNUGGUUAAGCGUGUUGUGAAAUGUAGAUGCUCAACAUCUGACUUGCAGCGCGAACUGGCUGACUUGAGUACACACAANGUANGCGGAAUUCAUGGUGUAGCGGUGAAAUGCNUUAGAUAUCAUGNAGAACUCCGAUUGCGAAGGCAGCUUACGGGAGUGUUACUGACGCUUAAGCUCNAANNUGCGGGUAUCGAACAGG